GUUACUUUAAAAUGCAACCAUGAUGAUGGCAGCUAUUAUUAUAUGUACUGGUACAGACAGAGAAGUACUGAAUCUUCGCUGGAGAUCAAGAAUCUAGUAGAGGAAGACUCAGGAAUUUAUUUCUGCGCCACAAGCUCUGGUGGUAGUUCUCCAGCUUAUUUCGGCAAUGGAACAAAGCUCACUGUCCUGGAGCGUGAUAUAAGCAAACCAGAAGUAGAAAUUCUAAAACCCUCUGGAACUGAGACGAGCUGUAAGCAAAAAGUCACUCUUGUGUGUGUGGCCAAAAACUUCUACCCAGACCAUGUGAGCAUAACAUGGACCAUUGGAAGCAAAGAAAUAAAAGAUGAUGUAGCGACAGACCCUUAUGCCACUCAAGACGAAAAAACAAAAUUGUUCAGCAUAACCAGCAGACUUAAAGUCUCUAAAAAAGAAUUCAAACCACAAAACACAUUCAGAUGUACUGUGAGAUUCUACAAUGAAACAGAUGUUUCCAUAAACAGACAUGGUGAAAUCAAUGGAAUUGCAGGGGGUGGAUAUGAGCCAGAAGACUAUGUAAAAUCAUCACGGAGGAUGAAGCUGGCAUACAGUGUGUUCAUCGCUAAGAGUGGACUGUAUGGUCUUGUCAUCUUAGUGUAUGUAUGGAGAAAGGGUUCAUCUGGAAAGUGAAUGAACGGAACAUUCCUGGAUUGACGGAGUUACCAAGAAAACUCAAUCCAUUUACUCCAUCCAGAAGAGAUGCUGAUUAUAUAACUGAAGAUUCUUUCUAUAUUGUUUCGUUUUAUUUCUCUCAUUCUGUUCUAUUCUGAGUGUGUAUCCUAGUGAAAAUCUGCAGGUACUUCAGAUCAGAUUAAUCAUAAAAUCUUUUUUAAUAAUAUAUAUUUUUUCUUUUGCUUAUUUUCUUGCUACUGUACAUAGUUACAAUUCGAUAACAAACUACUAUACUAGUAAAACAGACUUAACAGAGCUAAAUAUAAUUCAUUGUUUUUCAUAUUAAGAUUUACUGUAUUUUUUUUAUUUGUUUUAUACAUAAAUAAAAUCUAUAACACAUGCUUAUUACCCACAAAGAAAAUUCUCCCUUCUUUUAUAGGCAUGUUGUUCACCAAUUCAAGACUAAUAGCUAUUUUGAUAGCUUUUUUUUGCUGUAGACAAUUUGGUAGCGUACAUGGCACUUGCUGUUAAAGAUUUCAUUCUCAGGGAGCAUAAAUAAAUUGUAUACCUUGAAUUGCUUUGAAUAAAAGCAUCUGCAAAAUUCAAAAAGUAAAAGACAAUUUGUAGCCAAUAACGUUCAUGAAAAUGAUCUCCCAACUGCUUUCAAUCAAGUAACAACAUGGUAACAAUGAUUUAACUGGUUGAUUAUAUUCUGUUGCCUAUGUGGUCUUUAUAUAGGCCCCCUAAUGAAUACACUGUUACUGGUCGCUAAAACAUUGUAAUUAGGAAUAAAUAACUGUUUACUUCUUUAGGUGAACUGUUCAUCUGAAUAAACAUGAAAGCAAUAGAAAUCUCAUCAUAUAUCUGGAUUAUUAUUUAUCGGCAUUUUAGGGCUCCCACCACUUUAAAAAAAUUUGAUAAAACAAUCUACAUUUUUUCUUUUGAGUUACUGAAUGCUGCAGACCUGUACCUGAACAUUUCUUUCUCCCAUAAAGUACCUCCU